AGACCCUUUGAUCAAUGUGGAUGCUGCUAGAUUCUGAGUGAUCCUUAUAGUGGCUCCUCUGUAUUUGAAUUGUUUUUUUUUCUGGCUGCUUGUAGUAUUUUUAACUUGGUCUGAUAGUUCUGGAAUUUAGCCGCAAUAUUUCUUUGAGUUUUUAUUUGAGGAUCUCUUUCAGUAGGAAAUCAAUGAAUUCUUUCAAUGCCUAUUUUGCCUUCUGUUUCUAUAACAUCUAGGCAGUUCUCUUUUGAUGAUUUCCUGAGAAAUAGUGUCUAGGCUCUUUUUUUCAAUAAUGAUUUUCAGGGAGUAGAAUAAUCCUUAGAUUAUCUUUCAUAGAUCUAUUUUUCCGGUCUAUUAUUUUCCCAAUUAGGUAUUUUAAAUUUUUUUCUAUGUUUUCGUUUUUUUUUUUUUUUUUUUGAUUUUGCUUGACUGAUUCUUGGUGUCUCCUGGAGUAUUCAUUUCCAUUUGUUCAAGUCUGAUUUUUAAUGAAUUAUUUUAUUCAUUUACUUUUUACUUCUGUUUGUAUUUAUCCAAUUGAGUUUUUAAAUGAGUUGUUUUGUUCUAUGGAAUUUUUUUCCAUUUUGCCAAUUUUUUAAAGUAACUAUUUUCUUUUUCAAAUUCACCAAUUCUGUUUUCCUUGGAAUUGUUUACCUUUUCUAAUUCACAAAUUCUGUUUUCAGGAGUUGAUUUCUUUAUCCACUCUAUCUUUUAAUGAUUUAUCCUGACCUUGCAAAGCUUUCCUUUCCCCAUUUUUCUUCUAGCUCUCUUUUAAGAUCCUUUUUAAUUUCUUCUAUGAGGGCCUUGUGUGAUGGGAACCAGAUCAUAUCCACCUAGAGACAAACUGCUUUUAGUCUCCAUAGGGUUUGAAGCCUGCUCUCUUUCCAUAUAGAAGCUAUCAAUAAUUAGAGCACUUUUGCCUUUUUGCUCAUUUUGAAAAACAAAACAAAACAACAACAAAACAAAACAAAAACAACAACAACAACAAAAAAAAACACCUACAAUCUGCUUAUUGAGGGCAGUGGGGUAUUUCCAAGCUGCUUCUACAGACAACAGGUAGUGGCAGUGAAGGGGCAAUGGGACAGCACUCACUGACUGUGCUGGAAUCUGAAAUCAAGUCCUGAAAUCAGCAGCUGUGGAAAGGCAGCUUACUAGGGCUGCCCUGGGAGCAACAACUGCGGCUGCUCCUGGAUCAUACUGAGUCACUUCGGGUACUGGGUGGGUGUGGCCAGGUUCCAAGAGACCCUAGCAUUUCAGGGAAGAACUUCCCCUUGUGUUUAUAGC
rnacentral:lncRNA from 1 species